rnacentral:rRNA from 1 species
UCAAAUGAAUUGACGGGGGCCCGCACAAGCGGUGGAGCAUGUGGUUUAAUUCGAUGCAACGCGAAGAACCUUACCUACUCUUGACAUCCAGAGAAUCUAGCGGAGACGCUGGAGUGCCUUCGGGAACUCUGAGACAGGUGCUGCAUGGCUGUCGUCAGCUCGUGUUGUGAAAUGUUGGGUUAAGUCCCGCAACGAGCGCAACCCUUAUCCUUGUUUGCCAGCGAGUAAUGUCGGGAACUCCAGGGAGACUGCCGGUGAUAAACCGGAGGAAGGUGGGGACGACGUCAAGUCAUCAUGGCCCUUACGAGUAGGGCUACACACGUGCUACAAUGGCGCAUACAGAGGGCKGCCAACUUGCGAAAGUGAGCGAAUCCCAAAAAGUGCGUCGUAGUCCGGAUUGGAGUCUGCAACUCGACUCCAUGAAGUCGGAAUCGCUAGUAAUCGUGGAUCAGAAUGCCACGGUGAAUACGUUCCCGGGCCUUGUACACACCGCCCGUCACACCAUGGGAGUGGGCUGCAAAAGAAGUGGGUAGUUUAACCUUCGGGAGGACGCUCACCACUUUGUGGUUCAUGACUGGGGUGAAGUCGUAACAAGGUAGCGCUAGGGGAACCUGGCGCUGGAUCACCUCCUUAUACGAUGAU